ACCAUUUUGUUUGAAAACUUGUAGCAUUUAAGUAAAAUAUAACGAAUAUUUGAUGUCAUUCUAGACUAAAAACCAUCCAUAAACUGCAAUAUGAUCUUUAGUUGUAUGAUUUGAUAAAGAAAACAUAUUGCAAUCAAUGUGGUUCGAUAAAUUACUAUUAAAAAAAACUUAAACAUAUAAUGAUUGUCACAACGAUUUUAAAAUUGAUAAAAUACGUAUCUAUAUAAAAUAUUGCCGCUAUAAAAUUA
rnacentral:lncRNA from 1 species